rnacentral:rRNA from 1 species
CGUAGGUGGCAAGCGUUGUCCGGAUUUAUUGGGUUUAAAGGGUGCGUAGGCGGCCCUGUAAGUCAGUGGUGAAAUGCUCUAGCUUAACUAGAGAGGUGCCAAUGAUACUGCAGGGCUUGAGUACAGAUGAGGUAGGCGGAGUUGACGGUGUAGCGGUGAAAUGCAUAGAUAUCGUCAAGAACACCUAUAGCGAAGGCAGCUUACUGGGCUGUAACUGACGCUGAGGCACGAAAGUGUGGGGAUCAAACAGGAUUAGAUACCCUGGUAGUCCACACUGUAAACGUUGAUUACACGCUGUUUGCGAUACACAGCAAGCGGCUUAGCGAAAGCGAUAAGUAAUCCACCUGGGGAGUACGCCGGCAACGGUG